AGAGUUUGAUCCUGGCUCAGGAUGAACGCUGGCGGCGUGCCUAACACAUGCAAGUCGAACGGAAACUUAUGGAACGGAGAUUCGUCAAAGAGAAAUAAGUUUUAGUGGCGGACGGGUGAGUAACGCGUGGGUAACCUGCCUCAUAGAGGGGGAUAACGGUUGGAAACGAUCGCUAAUACCGCAUAAGCCCACAGUACCGCAUGGUACAGGGGGAAAAGUAACAACGCUAUGAGAUGGACCCGCGUCUGAUUAACUGGUUGGUGAGGUAACGGCCCACCAAGGUAACGAUCAGUAGCCGGACUGAGAGGUUGAACGGGCCACAUUGGGACUGAGACACGGCCCAAACUCCUACGGGAGGCAGCAGUGGGGAUAUUGCACAAUGGGGGAAACCCUGAUGCAGCGACGCCGCGUGGGUGAAGAAGUCUUUCGGGAUGUAAAGCCCUAUCAGCAGGGAAGAUGAUGACGGUACCUGACUAAGAAGCCCGGCUAACUACGUGCC
rnacentral:rRNA from 1 species